UGGGGUGGGAUUUUCACGUUUUAUCCUCUAUACCUGUGACAUUAAAAACAAAAAAAGUAUCCAUGCCAAUUCAUGUAUCCAUGAAUUACACAUGUUCAAAAGAAGCUAUUAAAUGCCUGAGGUUCAGUUUCAACCGCUAACUCUGCGUAUGACUUUGAAUCUUUACAUUUAGUUUUGUCCUCUUCCCUCAGCAACAGCUUACCUGGUCAGUUUAUAUACACAUUUUUUUCAGGGGAGUCAGGAAUAAAUUCAAAACAGAUACCCAUCUGCCCAUGUGCCUGGUGGACAUUUCCAGUCAACCUGAAGCCUUCCGGUUGCUCUAUGUUCCCUGGUUUUGUUAGAACAUUCUAUCUGGUCUCGCUGGAUCAAGCUCUCCUCUCCAGAUCGGCCUAUAUGGGGAACUGAAAAUAAUCCUGUUUCAACGGUCUGUAUCUCAUGCUUGAAAACUUUCAAUGGCUCUCUAUAACUCAGAAUCUAACGUUCAAACCUCUCUA